CUCACAUGUGUGCAGAACAAUUAUCACAAGUCCAAAAGCUUACUUCAGACUCCAAUAGCCUUAAAGUUACCUGUGCUAACCAGCUAGUUUGAAGCUAACUCACCUGGAUAAUCCUCUAAAUUGAUAGGAACGCUCGGGUUUUUUUUCUCUCCUCUCUUUCAAUUCAGUUUAAUUCAGUAACUCUUUCACUGUCAGCUCCAGCUGUGUUGACUCCAGUGCAGCAAAUGUCCAGUCAAUAAUGUCCAACUUGACUUUUACAGUAUAACUUUGAUCUAUGUUGUUUUUUUCUGCUCACACACCUGUCUGAGUUGUGUGGUCUGUAGAGUCCUGGGUCAGAGGGUGCAGAACUCCAGAGAGCAUCUAGCAGUAACCUGUUCAUGAUGCAUUUAGGAACACUGUGUAAUUCAGAGCUCUAAAAUAACCUGGGUUACAAAUAGAUUGAUGAUUAUGUUUUACAGUUUUGUUUGGUUUUUUUGUAUUGAUUGGGACUAGUGACUGCUGCUUGUGAAAACUUUAAAAAUUAACUUAGUGUUUUGUUGACUGGUUGGAAACAAACUGUGCAGUCCAACAAUCAGGUUUCUUCUAUUUGUAUCUACCAGAAAUCCACCCACACAGGACCUCCAUGUUUUUUUCUUGACAGUCCUUCUUUGCUUUCUCACUUGAUGAGUGUAGCUCCUGGCACUACGUUUGUUAUUUGUAAUUUCUUCUUCACCUCUGUCUCCUCUCACAGGGAGAAGAUGAUCUUCAGGAUCCUGCUGCUCAUCAACCUGAUGUCAUGUGUCUCUGGAACAUUUGUAGUGAAUGUGACACAGACCUCCUAUCAGGCAGAGGAGAACCACAACAUCACACUGGAGUGGACGUUCACUAUCAGACCUCACACAUCCUCUAACUCAGUGAACAUCUUCUGUGACAUGUUCACUGACCACAGUCACUUAGUCCUGUUUCAUCUCCAUGAAGGUGUUGAGGUCUCAGAGUCUCAGGAUCAACAGUUUUCAGGAAGAGUCCAGUUUGACAAAGACGUCCUCAGAGAAGGACGAAUCAGACUCCAACUGUCCAGACUCAGGACUAAUGACUCAGGACUGUACCUGUGUGAAGUGAAAACACAUCAAGGUUGGAGCUCUGACAGAUGUCAACUCAACGUCACUGCUGCUGAUCAGCCGGAACCUCAGAGACCGACUGUGAGUUCACAUUCUGAGAGUCGAGGAAGGAUCGUCCUCUAUGCUGUUUUGGGACUAGCAGCAGCAGCAGCAGCAGCUCUACUUGUCAAACUCUGUGUAACUGAGUUCUUGUUGGAGUAAAUCUACUGAUAAGACAGGAAACCUCUGUUCAACUGUGAUCCCCUUUCCCCUGUCAUAAGAACAUCAAUUCAGGACCUGAGUCAGAAAACCAAGAAUCCAAGACUCUGGAGGAGCUCUGUAGUUCUUGUUUUGUUUACAAUGUUAACAACAGUGGUCUGCUGUGCCCCCUUUUUUUUUUUUUUUUUUUAAUGAGGCUGCUGAUAAGCUACAAUGGUUAUAUCCAGUAGCAAGGAAAGGUGCUUUCUGGUACAUGUGAUGCUAGGUUUUCUAACUUCUGGAGACAGAAAGAAAGGAAGAAAUGUUUCUGUUUUUUUAGGUGCAAGUUGGACAGAUUUUUUAUUUUGCAGGGAGGAGUGAGGCUGCUGAGAGCACAGAGGUGAGUAGAUGUUCCACCAUCAUGGAACCACUAAGUAAAGUAAAGUAACCAAAACAAUUAUUUUAUUCAUUUCAGCUUUUAUCUUAUAUUAAUGAUGCACCUAAUUAGUCUCUUUAAUUCCUUUCGUAUGUUGUUGAUUCAACUGUGUGAUAAUGUUGAAGGCUGUUUGUGCUGCUUUUUAACUGUGUUACAUUGACAGUUGUUUGUAUUAUGAUGUCCUUUUUUUACUCUUUUUGUUGUUGUUGUUGUUGUGUUUCAGUUUGUGUGGCCAUUUCAGUAGUAGUAGUAGUAGUAGUAGUAGUAGUAGUAGUCUAGUGAAAGUUGACAGCUGUUGACAAAGCUGUCUGGUUUCCUUUUGGACUUUGAUUAUGAUUGAACUUCAAUUCUAAGCCUUUCAUUUUAUAAAAUUACACAUGUGAUAUGAAUUAAAUUUGUUCUGUAAACUAAUUUACACAUAUUUCAUUUUACAAUUUUAGUUACUACAGCCAAGAAAUUUUAUUGUACAAAAGACAUUCAUUGAUUUCUGAGUAUAACAGCACUGGGACAUUUGACUGUCUGUGUCUCUUAGCUUUAUAUGUGUUUUAAAAUUCACUAAUUACACUGACGGUCAUUAGUUUUAUGCUACCGUGUAAGAAACUACACGAAUGAAUUAAAUCAUGAAAGGUCACCAUGAGAGAGCAAGGAAAGAAGUCAGGAUACUUAUAUGCAAAUGCCCUGAGUUCUUGUAUAAUAUCAGCCGAACUCUAAUGUGACUUUAUAGGUUUUACAAAGUAAACACACAGAGCAUGAUGAUUCAUAAUGCAUUAAUAGCCUAGACCAGAAAAAGCUUUGUCCUGCAGGUCUUAAAACUUGCUCAAGAGUUACUGGAGAUCAUCUACAGGGAGCAGGAAAUGAUGGAGCAGCUAUAACUGUUAAUUAACAGAUACUCUGGUUGCUGAGAAAUGGAAACAUACAGAAGAAUGAAAGAAAUGUGUAAAGUAGUUAGAUAGUUAUUUAAGCUAGUGUGUAGGAAUACGCUUACAGUUUGUAUUGAAGAGUUCCAAUCCAGCUGAGGAACCAUUUUGUGAUCCAAAGGACUCAUUAAAUAAACUAAUCUCAAUCUGUUGAUGUAAAUUAAAUCAAAUUUUAUUUGUACAGCGCCAAAUGACAACAGAAGCCAUCUCAAGGCACUUUACAGUUUAAAGUUUAAGUAGGGUAUAAUUGUGUAUAGAAUUAUAUAGGAAACGCAAGAAUCUGAUUUGAGUGAGCUUUAGGCAACAGCGGAGAGGAAAAACUCCCUUUAGAGGAGGAAACCUCCAGCAGAACCAGGCUCAGGAUGGGCGGUCAUUUGCCACGACCAGUUGGGGUGAGUUGAAAGAGAAGAGAGAAACAUUAAACUGUUGUAUUAAAGCUAAAUCUAGGUUGUACUGUUGUGUUGAAUAUCAGCAGAGCUCUGAUACCUACUACAACAUCACAGUACAACAGCACCCCCUCUUGUGUGAUAGUACUUAUUACUACAUACUACAACUAUUCUAGAAAGGUCAUUGACUCCCCAAGUUUAAGUACUCUGCAGGAUGUGACAGUGCAAGCAUUGGGCCUUUGGCUGAUUAUCUGAUAAAGAACUGACUUGUCUUUUUGUCGAGGGAUUGUGAAGCACAAUGUGAAAGGACUCAAUGAACUACGGGAGAACCUGUGGCCCCUUCGCUUUCUCCAGUCUUGCUUGUGGUUUUUGCAGCCUUGCUAUUAUGGUAAUUUUAGUAAUGUGAUAAUUGGCUUUAGUAUUGCACCAUGUUGAAAGUAAUAAAAAAAACACUUUUGGUGAAGGUCAGUCCACAGAAGAUGCAAAAUAAUGGCAAAAUAUUUAUGAAUACAUACAGUCUUUGUAUUAACCAAUUAGAGUGAAAGUGAAACUAUAAAGGGG
rnacentral:lncRNA from 1 species